rnacentral:rRNA from 1 species
AUUGAACGCUGGCGGCAGGCCUAACACAUGCAAGUCGAACGAGUGGCGGACGGGUGAGUAAUGUCUGGGAAACUGCCUGAUGGAGGGGGAUAACUACUGGAACCGGUAGCUAAUACCGCAUACCAUCGGAUGUGCCCAGAUGGGAUUAGCUAGUAGGUGGGGUAAAGGCUCACCUAGGCGACGAUCCCUAGCUGGUCUGAGAGGAUGACCAGCCACACUGGAACUGAGACACGGUCCAGACUCCUACGGGAGGCAGAAGUGGGGAAUAUUGCACAAUGGGCGUAAGCCUGAUGCAGCCAGGCCGCGGGUGUGAAGAAGGCCUUCGGGUUGUAAAGCACUUUCAGCGGGGAGGCGUUACUCGCAGAAGAAGCACCGGCUAACUCCGUGCCAGCCGCCGCGGUAAUAC